rnacentral:rRNA from 1 species
GCGGCCUAUCAGCUUGUUGGUGGGGUAAUGGCCUACCAAGGCAACGACGGGAAGCUGGUCUGAGAGGAUGAUCAGCCACACUGGGACUGAGACACGGCCCAGACUCCUACGGGAGGCAGCAGUGGGGAAUCUUGCGCAAUGGGCGAAAGCCUGACGCAGCAACGCCGCGUGCGGGAUGAAGGCCUUCGGGCUGUAAACCGCUUUCAGCAGGAACGAAAAUGACGGUACCUGCAGAAGAAGGAGCGGCCAACUACGUGCCAGCAGCCGCGGUGACACGUAGGCUCCAAGCGUUGUCCGGAUUUAUUGGGCGUAAAGAGCUCGUAGGCGGUUUAGUAAGUCGGGUGUUAAAACUCUGGGCUCAACCCGGAGAGGCCAUCCGAUACUGCUGUGACUUGAGUUCAGGAGGGGAGACUGGAAUUCCU